rnacentral:rRNA from 1 species
UAGGGAAUCUUCGGCAAUGGACGAAAGUCUGACCGAGCAACGCCGCGUGAGUGAAGAAGGUUUUCGGAUCGUAAAACUCUGUUGUUAGAGAAGAACAAGGACGUUAGUAACUGAACGUCCCCUGACGGUAUCUAACCAGAAAGCCACGGCUAACUACGUGCCAGCAGCCGCGGUAAUACGUAGGUGGCAAGCGUUGUCCGGAUUUAUUGGGCGUAAAGCGAGCGCAGGCGUUUUCUUAAGUCUGAUGUGAAAGCCCCCGGCUCAACCGGGGAGGGUCAUUGGAAACUGGGAGACUUGAGUGCAGAAGAGGAGAGUGGAAUUCCAUGUGUAGCGGUGAAAUGCGUAGAUAUAUGGAGGAACACCAGUGGCGAAGGCGGCUCUCUGGUCUGUAACUGACGCUGAGGCUCGAAAGCGUGGGGAGCAAACAGG